GAUGAACGCUAGCGGCAGGCCUAACACAUGCAAGUCGAGGGGUAACUAGAGUGAUAGCAAUAUUACUUUGGCUAGACCGGCGCACGGGUGCGUAACACGUAUGCAACCUACCUUAUACUGGGGAAUAACUUCGAGAAAUCGGCGCUAAUACCCCAUAACACUGCGAAGAGGCAUCUCUUUGCAUUUAAAGCUCCGGCGGUAUAAGAUGGGCAUGCGUCCAAUUAGCUAGUUGGUGAGGUAACGGCUCACCAAGGCUACGAUUGGUAGGGGUUCUGAGAGGAUGAUCCCCCACACUGGUACUGAGACACGGACCAGACUCCUACGGGAGGCAGCAGUGAGGAAUAUUGCGCAAUGGACGAAAGUCUGACGCAGCCAUGCCGCGUGCAGGAUGACGGCCCUAUGGGUUGUAAACUGCUUUUGAUGGGAAUAAACCCUUCUACGUGUAGAAGGCUGAAGGUACCGUAAGAAUAAGC
rnacentral:rRNA from 1 species